GACGAACGCUGGCGGCGUGCUUAACACAUGCAAGUCGAACGGAAAGGCCCUGCUUUUGUGGGGUGCUCGAGUGGCGAACGGGUGAGUAACACGUGAGUAACCUGCCCUUGACUUUGGGAUAACUUCAGGAAACUGGGGCUAAUACCGGAUAGGAGCUCCUGCUGCAUGGUGGGGGUUGGAAAGUUUCGGCGGUUGGGGAUGGACUCGCGGCUUAUCAGCUUGUUGGUGGGGUAGUGGCUUACCAAGGGUUUGACGGGUAGCCGGCCUGAGGGGGUGACCGGCCACAUUGGGACUUGGGAACGGCCCAGACCCCUAGGGGGGGGAGGGGGGGGAAAUUUUGCAAAAUGGGGGGAGGCCUGAUGCAGCAACGCCGGGUGGGGGAUGGCGGCCUUCGGGUUGUAAACCGCUUUCGCCUGUGACGAAGCGUGGGUGACGGUAAUGGGUAAAGAAGCACCGGCUAACUACGU
rnacentral:rRNA from 1 species